rnacentral:rRNA from 1 species
UCCGUAGGUGAACCUGCGGAAGGAUCAUUACUGAAUAUGGAAUAUCUUAUUCUUAAACCCACACUGAGUACUUGUACUUGUUGCUUCCGUGGGCAGCGAAUGUUGUGUUUGCGCCUGCUGAUGAAGUGGACCCACGGGAGACACCAAUAAACUCUGCCUUUUUGUGAUAUAUAGUCUGACUCUGUUUAUUCUUUAAACGUUAAAACUUUCAACAACGGAUCUCUUGGUUCUCGCAUCGAUGAAGAACGCAGCGAAAUGCGAUAAGUAGUGUGAAUUGCAGAAUUCAGUGAAUCAUCGAAUCUUUGAACGCACAUUGCGCCUCCUGGCAUUCCGGGAGGCAUGCCUGUUCGAGCGUCAUCAAAUCCUCUCAAGCUCAUGUUUAUUCAUGACUUGGUAUUGGAGCUGGAGUGGACAUAGGCCAUUCCUAUCCGAAUUCCAAUGGCAAAGUUGUCUGCAUCGAUAAGCGUAGUGAUCAACAUUAUGUUUCGCUGUGAGGUAGAUAAUCUUCCGCCGUUAACCACCCCCAAUUUUAAGUGUUUGACCUCGGGGAUCAGGGGUAGGGGGGAUACCGGCUGGAACUUAAGGCAUAUCAAUAAGGCGGGAGGGAAGGUCGGACUGGCCAAGGGGCACACAGGGGGGGGGAUA